rnacentral:rRNA from 1 species
AUGGAUUGGAAUCCCCAAGUGUUGUGUUGGAAUGUGAGGGGUCUCAAUAACCCCGCCAAAAGGAACGCUGUCCGGGAGUUCGUUGUCGAUGCUAAGGUUAAUCUUGUAUGUCUCCAAGAGACAAAAAUAGAUGUAUUUGACCCGUAUUUGGUUAUGCAAUGCAUUGGACCAUCGUUUGAUGGGUUCGCCUACUUGCCGGCGUUGGACACUAGGGGUGGCAUCCUCUUGGGGUGG